rnacentral:rRNA from 1 species
CCUACGGGAGGCUGCAGUGGGGAAUAUUGGACAAUGGGGGGAACCCUGAUCCAGCCAUGCCGCGUGUGUGAAGAAGGCCCUCGGGUUGUAAAGCACUUUCAGUGAGGAAGAACGCCUGGUGGUUAAUACCCAUCAGGAAAGACAUCACUCACAGAAGAAGCACCGGCUAACUCCGUGCCAGCAGCCGCGGUAAUACGGAGGGUGCGAGCGUUAAUCGGAAUUACUGGGCGUAAAGCGCGCGUAGGUGGCUUGAUAAGCCGGUUGUGAAAGCCCCGGGCUCAACCUGGGAACGGCAUCCGGAACUGUCAAGCUAGAGUGCAGGAGAGGAAGGUAGAAUUCCCGGUGUAGCGGUGAAAUGCGUAGAGAUCGGGAGGAAUACCGGUGGCGAAGGCGGCCUUCUGGACUGACACUGACACUGAGGUGCGAAAGCGUGGGUAGCAAACAGGAUUAGAUACCCCAGUAGUC